CAGCUACUCCCUCCGUUCCAAAUUACUUGUCUUAGAUUUGUCUAGAUACGGAUGUAUCUAGCACUUAAAUGAGUCUAGAUGCAUCCGUAUCUAGACAAAUCCAAGACAAGUAAUUCGGAACGGAGGGAGUAGAUG
rfam:Triticum aestivum genome assembly, contig: Triticum_aestivum_CS42_TGACv1_scaffold_593589_7BS